GACCCUCUGGAAACCACUGGAUCUUUGAGGAAAUGGUGGUCCACAGAGCCAGACACAUGGAUACAGCAGAGUCCCUCCCCCCAAGAAGAUGACAGAGUGGCCGGGGAGACAGGCGUGCACACAGCCUAGAAGGCUUCUUCGGGGACUCCUGAGGACUUCAGCUGGCAUGUUCACCAUACCUCUCGGCAGCUGCCUACAUGUGGGCUUCUGUGGAGUUUCUGUCACGCUCUGGACCUGGCCCUGCAUGGUGGCGGCAGGUGAGUGGGGGAACAAAAACCCUCCUCUGUUCCAGGCAGAACUGGAGAAGUUCCAAAGAGAGGUGCAAGCUGGCUGCUGGUGAGGGGGAGCCAGGGGCGGGGGAACACAUCACAGAGAGAGCUGUGCCACCAGGGGCCAGGAGAUGGGAAGACAUGAUGAGAGGAGGAAGGGUGGGCGGUCAGUCCCUCUGAAUGGCUUUUCAGGCUUCUCAGGGCUUCUGUGCCCAGCCUGGGCUCUAACAACUCAACGUACUGUCUGGAACACCAUCUAAGUCAUAGCGAUUAAACCUGACUUGUCCCUAAAAUUUCAGCAACUGCCUAUUGUCCUUCCAGGCACUCUGUGGAUUUCCAACUAGACAGCCUUAUUCAUUUUCACGGUGAUUACCAGUGAUGGUACUCGGUCAAAGCAGGCGGAACCGACCAAGAUGCUGCGGAUUCGAGGGACGGGUACCUUUCUAUUGAGUUUCCACAUUGAAGCCCUCAUGUUCCCCUCAGAUUGGUCCAUUCCUGAGCGGGCAUUAGACACGCUUUUGUAACUGAUGUCAGAACUGGCCAGGAGUGAGAAGUAGGGCCUAACCCCUGAUUUCCCGCGGGGAUCUGGAAUCAGCACAGCUAAUAGGAGAAGAAGGGCCAAACGACAGAGAACCACCAACAGGCGUAUGGGGAAACCAUCUGAGCCACAGCGUGAGCAGAGUAAGAAGGUUUCCGUCUUUCAGACUGGAUGCUGGUCUACCUUGCGCAGAAUGGCGGCCUGUGGAGAUGGCCCCAGGGCAGAAAAACAGGUUCUCCACAGCCAAAGUGCUCCUCCGUGUGGGAGCCAGGGAGGCAGGGAUAGCAUGAUCCCAUGCUCUGUGCCCAAGCAUGACACAGUAUUUUCAAAGGUUUGGUUGAAUGAAUCAAGGUCGAGAAGCCGGCAUGGGGGCGACUCCGGGCUUCAGGAGCACUCCGGUGCCUCGCCGCCUGAUGGAUGGCAGUCCUUAAGCCUGACUGAGCUUUCACAGUUGAAACCAUUAAAGAAAAGCCCACUUCCUUAGAAGAUGCUGGACGUCCUAUGACUUACCUCUCUGUGCCUGGGGCUCAUCUCCUGAAAAAGGGCAGAAUAACAGCACCCACCUCAAAGGGCCCAGCAAGCCGUUAGCGAAGGCUGAUGUUCUCCUCUAUGGUGGGUUGCUGGGAGGCUGGGAAGCUCCAUGCUAUCACUCUGCCUGUAUGCUUGUCAAUAAAUCACUUUACCUCUCUUGGCCUUA
ensembl:lincRNA